CGAAUUUUUUUUCCGUAUUCCUCAUUCCGUGAGACAAGCGCAAACGUUCGUUUUUAUCACGCGCGAACGCGCCGGAUUGAACUUG